AUUGAACGCUGGCGGCAGGCCUAACACAUGCAAGUCGAGCGGUGCGGCGGACGGGUGAGUAAUGCCUAGGAAUCUGCCUUGUCGUGGGGGAUAACGUCCGGAAACGGGCCCUAAUCCCGCAUCCUAUCAGAUGAGCCUAGGUCGUAUUAGCUAGUUGGUUGGGUAAAGGCCUACCAAGGCGACGAUCCGUAACUGGUCUGAGAGGAUGAUCAGUCAAACUGGAACUGAGACACGGUCCAGACUCCUACGGGAGGCAGCAGUGGGGAAUAUUGGACAAUGGGCGAAAGCCUGACCCAGCCAUGCCGCGUGUGUGAAGAAGGUCUUCGGAUUGUAAAGCACUUUAAGUUGGGAGGCGUUACCAACAGAAUAAGCACCGGCUAACUUCGUGCCAGCAGCCGCGGUAAUUC
rnacentral:rRNA from 1 species